GCAAAAAUGAGAGGAGACGCCGAAGUUCUCUUGCUGGACAGCAAGGGACGUGAAGUGGAAAUGAUGCUCAAGCAAGCACUCUAUAUACCAUCAUUUCCACAAAACAUCUUUUCUGUCAAAGCCGCGACUGCCAGCGGUGCAGAGUAAAUGAAAACGGUUUUGUACAAAAUGAUGCUGAUCAUUGUGUCUACUGCAAGGAAUCUGAAAAUGAGAAAGUAAUCCUGUUAGUAUGAGUAGACGACUUGAUUGUAGCGGCGAGUAACAACACCUCAUGAUGUCAAAGAAAUGUUGAAGAGAAGGUUUAAGAUGAAAGACAUGGGUCCACUUAGACACUUCCUUGGUAUUGACUUUAAGCAGAGUGAAGGAGAAAUCAAAAUGACACAAGAGAGAUACAUUAAGAAGCUGUUGGAAAAUUUUGGAAUGUCUGAAUGUAAACCAAGAUACACCCCAUGUGAACAC